GAUGAACGCUGGCGGCGUGCCUAACACAUGCAAGUCGAGCGUGAACCCUGCGAAUGAAACUUCGGUCGAUUUUGCAGGGGGAAAGCGGCGGACGGGUGAGUAACGCGUAGGUAACCUGCCCCAUACUGAGGGAUAGCCUCGGGAAACCGGGAUUAAUACCUCAUAACACCGUAUAUUCGCAUGGAUGUGCGGUCAAAGAUUUAUCGGUAUGGGAUGGGCCUGCGUCUGAUUAGCUGGUUGGUGGGGUAACGGCCUACCAAGGCGACGAUCAGUAGCCGACCUGAGAGGGUGAUCGGCCACAUUGGAACUGAGACACGGUCCAAACUCCUACGGGAGGCAGCAGUGGGGAAUAUUGCACAAUGGGCGAAAGCCUGAUGCAGCAACGCCGCGUGAGCGAAGAAGGCCUUUGGGUCGUAAAGCUCUGUCGGGUAGGAAGAUAAUGACGGUACUACCCCGAGGAAGCCCCGGCUAACUACGUG
rnacentral:rRNA from 1 species